UUUUGGGUGCACAUGACUGGCCUUAUUAAAGGAAUUCCCCCUGGAAGGAGUAUCAGCCUUUGAACUGGAUGUCUUCUUGCUUUCACCGCCACCUGAUGAUACUGUUCUUGGAGGAGGAUUAGAUGUUUGCUCCUUGGCUGAUGACUUCAGAUUUUCCUCUCGUGUGGACCUCUUUGACUCUUGAAUCAGCUUAGAUGAUUCUGCUGAUUUACGCUGCUCAAAACUUCCCUGGUUAUCUGAAUUUUUGGACUGAGGAUUAUGUUGAGUAUCAGUAGUGUAGGAACUUCUAGAGGAUGAUUCCUUCAUUAAGGACCUCUUCGAUUGUAAAAUUGGCUUAGAUAUAGCUUGUUCUGUUGAUCUACCCUGCUCAGAACUUCCCCAAUAACCAGAGCUCUUUUCCUGAGAAGUGGGCUUCACUUGAGCUUCAGCAGUGUAGGAACUCACUGAGGAUGAUUUGUGUUCCGCAGCAUAACCUGGAGUCAUUGAAGAAUCAGAAGGUACCCUGGACUUCAAAUUUCUCUCAGAAUUUGAAAGAGGUCUGCUGGUAACAGUCUGUUUUGUUCGUCUAGAAAAUCCAGGACCCGAAUGAGUUUUGCUCUUUUCAGUCUGUUUAGGAAGAUCCUCCUCAGAAUCACUAUUAUCCAAGUCAAAAUAGUUCCUUACACCUGAUUUUUUGUUCACUUCCACUGCUGCUUUUCGAAUGUGUGGCUCUUGCGUCUGUUGUGGAAGUUCCUCAUCUGACUCAUCAUCAAUAGCAUCAGAAUAUGGAACUGAGGUUCCUAAGCUUCCUUUUUUAUUUAUUUUUGGGUGCACCAUCUGAUUGUAUGAAUCUUGGACUCCAGAACCAAUAUCAACCUUGAGGGAAGAAGACUUCUGCUUAAACCUGGUAGAAUUAUCCUCCUCUGCUUGUUUGGACACUGAAGAACUAUCUGAUGGAUUACUACGGUAUGGUGGAUGCCUAUAACCCUUAUUUCGAAGGCCACCUGUCAAGAUUCCAAAAUUCAACUCUUUACCACUUUCCAAACUCGAUUCUUUAAUAGUUUUAGUAUCCUGCAAUGUAUCCAGUGAUUGGUAACUUUGAAUAUCAUCCAUGACUGAUGAAAACCCUGAAGUUUUUGGAUUGUCAUCAUCAUUGGAUUUUGAUUGAGAUUUUGUGAACCUGCGAGAAGUUGGAUUGGUAUGCAAGUAACCAUAAUUAAACUUCAUAUCAGUUUCAGGCCCAACUUCAUUUCCCUGGUUUUUGCUGUUGGAUCCCGCAUUUUCCUUUUCCACAAGUGAAGAUCCUACAAAGUGAGGUCUCUCAUUCUGGGUUGUCUCAGUGUUACUGCUUAUAUGUUUAUGAGGAAAAGUGCCGGAAUAUGUAUUCCCAACAAGCUUAGACUUAUUGAGCUCCUCUUCACUUUCUGAGCUUGGACCAUCUGAAUCAUCAAAAGUCACAGGCAACAAUUCAUCAGAUUGCGAAGGAACUGUAUCACUUGUCAAGCCCUCAGAAAAUACACUUGUGGUGUGCAAGUCUGAUGCAAAAAGAGAUUGUGAACCGAACUUUCCUAGUGACUCUUCCAUGUUUAGCCUGGAGCUGUUAGCAUUUGUAUUUGCUAAAAGAUGAGGCAAUGAUUUUCUAUCUUCUGACAGGUAAUAUGAACCAGAAUCUUGGCCAUUAUGUUCACCCUUCUCAUCAAGAUUAAAUUCAUCAUCAUCUGAACCAGAAUCAUCAAAAACCACAGAAGCAUUAUCAAAUGGGUUUGUUUCUUUGGUAUUUCUUUGGAAGUUUCCUUCAUAAAAAAUAUAAGGUUCCUUAGCAGCUUCCUCACUAAAUUUCUGGUGGCUGAAACUGGAAAAAACAUUGUGAUCAUCCCUAGAAAUUUGAGAAUGAGAAUGAGAUGAAACGCUGCUAGACUGUUCUCUAUUGCUGG
rnacentral:misc_RNA from 1 species